rnacentral:rRNA from 1 species
AGUGAACGCUGGCGGUAGGCCUAACACAUGCAAGUCGAACGGCAGCACAGUAAGAGCUUGCUCUUACGGGUGGCGAGUGGCGGACGGGUGAGGAAUACAUCGGAAUCUACUUUUUCGUGGGGGAUAACGUAGGGAAACUUACGCUAAUACCGCAUACGACCUACGGGUGAAAGCAGGGGAUCUUCGGACCUUGCGCGAUUGAAUGAGCCGAUGUCGGAUUAGCUAGUUGGCGGGGUAAAGGCCCACCACGGCGUCGAUCCGUAGCUGGUCUGCGAGGAUGAUCAGCCACACUGGAACUGAGACACGGUCCAGACUCCUAGGGGAGGCAGCAGUGGGGAAUAUUGGACAAUAGGCGCAAGCGUGAACCAGCCAUACCGAGUGGGUGAAGAAGGCCUUCGGGUUGUAAAGCCCUUUUGUUGGGAAAGAAAAGCAGCAGGUUAAUACCCCGCUGUUCUGACGGUACCCAAAGAAUAAGCACCGGCUAACUUCGUG